ACUACUGGUUCGCAGUGGGAGCAUGUGCGCUUCUGCGCAUGCGCAGAUGACCCAUGAUGAUGUCGUGGCAGAGAGAGAAUAUGAGAUUGUCCAAAUUGUGCUCCACAUAUUUGCUUCUCACAAGGAGACUGCAAAGCAGCAAUUUCUGAGAACCAGGAGCUGGUAGAAUUUGCCAAGCUUGUUCCAGUCAGAAAUGGAACCUAACAAAGAACAAAGAAACCCUUCCCAUGCUAAUAACAUCCAAUAAUUGCCUGCUAAUUGCUUUAAAGAAAUUAGACACCUUCAAAAUGACAAAGCUCAAAAUACCAGGAAGUGACUAAGGCAUAAGUGACAGAUCCAAACCUCCUAGUUCAAGAAAGGCCAUAAUUGGUUCGUGAAAUGAAGUUAGGUGAAAGUACCCUUGGUUAUGGUUGUCACUCUUCAAGCAAGGACCAUGAGUCCAGGAGAAUUUCCAAGGUUGUAUACCAAUUCUGUUGAGAAAGUACAACCCUAUCCAGAACAAUGGCAAAGCAUUGGAGGAAAAUUAAAUCACAUAACCAUUUUGUAUUUCCAGGGUU